CUGUAGGCUGAGACCUCUCGGUGCACCUGGU
rnacentral:piRNA from 1 species